GACGAACGCUGGCGGCGUGCUUAACACAUGCCAGUCGAACGGAAAGGCCCUGCUUUUGUGGGGUGCUCGAGUGGCGAACGGGUGAGUAACACGUGAGUAACCUGCCCUUGACUUUGGGAUAACUUCAGGAAACUGGGGCUAAUACCGGAUAGGAGCUCCUGCUGCAUGGUGGGGGUUGGAAAGUUUCGGCGGUUGGGGAUGGACUCGCGGCUUAUCAGCUUGUUGGUGGAGUAGUGGCUUACCAAGGCUUUGACGGGUAGCCGGCCUGAGAGGGUGACCGGCCACAUUGGGACUGAGAUACGGCCCAGACUCCUACGGGAGGCAGCAGUGGGGAAUAUUGCACAAUGGGCGGAAGCCUGAUGCAGCAACGCCGCGUGCGGGAUGACGGCCUUCGGGUUGUAAACCGCUUUCGCCUGUGACGAAGCGUGAGUGACGGUAAUGGGUAAAGAAGCACCGGCUAACUACGUG
rnacentral:rRNA from 1 species